rnacentral:rRNA from 1 species
GUAGCAUAAUCAUUAGUUUUUUAAUUGAAAACUGGUAUGAAUGGUCGGACAAAGGAAUAACUGUCUUAAGUUAUGAUAAUUGAAUUUUACUUUUAAGUGAAAAGGCUUAAAUAGUUCGGGGGGACGAUAAGACCCUAUAAAGCUUUACAUGUUAUUUAAAUUCAGUCAGUAUCUAUCAAUAAAGAUUGAAUUUAAAAAUUAUGUUUUGUUGGGGCGACACAGGUAUAAAUGAAUUUAACUGCUUAAAUUUUAAAACAAUAAUAAAUGGUUUGAAUAUAAACGAUCCUUUAUAGAGAUUAAAAGACCAAGUUACUUUAGGGAUAACAGCGUUAUUUCUUUUGAGAGUUCAUAUCGAAAAAGAAGUUUGCGACCUCGAUGUUGAAUUAAAAUUUCUAUAUAGUGCAGCUGCUAUAAAAGAGGGUCUGUUCGACCUUUAAACUUUU